GACAGGUGGUGCAUGGUUGUCGUCAGCUCGUGUCGUGAGAUGUUGGGUUAAGUCCCGCAACGAGCGCAACCCCUAUUAUUAGUUGCCAGCAUUCAGUUGGGCACUCUAAUGAGACUGCCGGUGACAAACCGGAGGAAGGUGGGGAUGACGUCAAAUCAGCAUGCCCCUUAUGACUUGGGCUACACACGUGCUACAAUGGAUGGUACAACGAGUCGCAAACCCGCGAGGGCAAGCAAAUCUCUUAAGGCCAUUCUCAGUUCGGAUUGCAGGCUGCAACUCGCCUGCAUGAAGCCGGAAUCGCUAGUAAUCGUGGAUCAGCACGCCACGGUGAAUACGUUCCCGGGUCUUGUACACACCGCCCGUCACACCACGAGAGUUUGUAACACCCGAAGUCGGUGAGGUAACCUUUAUGGAGCCAGCCGCCGAAGGUGGGACAGAUGAUUGGGGUGAAGUCGUAACAAGGUAGCCGUAUCGGAAGGUGCGGCUGGAUCACCUC
rnacentral:rRNA from 1 species